rnacentral:sRNA from 1 species
UAAAAAAACACAAAAAAAA